AAUGGGCAUAUGAUGAAGCUUUAUUUGACAAAUGGGUAAUUUGCGUCUGAAUGCAUAUUUUUGCUUGAUGCUACAACACCUUGGAGAACUGAUGCCUUUA